ACCUGUUGGAUGCGAUGAUGAAUGCUCUGGCACAUCCCACGUCAAGCUGACCUGCGUUGCUUCUCGUCGUCACCAUCCCCACAAAUCACUCCCGACCCAUCCAUCCAUCCCGCUCUGGCUCUGCUUCCACAAAGGACACGCACGGCCAGAGAGAGUGGCAGAGCCGCAGAGGUGGAGUAACACCGACGCGUGCGUGGGUCGCCGGCGAGGGACGUCGGCGCCAUGAAAUUCCCCUCCUGCCCUUCUCCAGCUGGCAGCGCGCCUCGUCUCGUCGCGUUGCGGAAGGGCAGGAGCGUAAAAUCGCGGCGCCGCGCUCGCGCGGGAAAUCCGGAGGUGUGGUGGUAGAAGUACUGCGCUCCAGGGUGUCGCCCGCCCGCCCGUCCUCCCUCCAUCAAAACGUUUCGAUUCUGUGCUGCCAUUGACGCCCUUCCUCCAUUCCGCCGCGUGCGGGGGGUUAGGGUUUCGAGGGAGAGGGACGGCGGCGCUGCUGUCCGACCAGAAGCUGCCGCUCGCUCGCUCGCGCGCGCGCGCGUGUGGCGCAGCCCGAUUUGAGAUCCAAGCGCGCGCGCCUCGCCGUAGAGCCCUCCGGCGGGGGCUCGUGCUCCUGCUCGUGCUCGCGGGAUGCCGUCGGUUCCGACCGAGGGUUGGGCAGUGGAGAAUGGAACCAAUGCUGCUGCUGAUGUCAGGGAAGGGCAACUCAAGCUCAUGGAGGAAUGUCUUGCCACCACAAGCCCAACCUUUGCACAUGCUGCUGUUCUCUCGGGUUUGUCGAACAUAACCUGAGGCCUCUCAGGCCAAGCCCCAGCGCAGCGACUCCUCUAAGAGGAAGCAUCGUCUGCACGUGCCCAUCAACAACUCCUGCAACUGUUCUCCAACAACACCGAUGACCUUGUCCGGGUGCUACCCUGUCCUGGAUGAGCUAUGGUGAUACCUACCUACUGAAGUAACUAUAUAGCCAUCACUAAUAUUUCUUCCUUAGUUUUCCCUUGAUCUUGUUUACUAGGAUGUCAUUUGUUGUGCCCUAUUGCCAAGGUGCACUACUGUUGCAUGUUAUGUUCUAUUUUCGUUGCUUGUGAACCAAUUUAUAAGCUGGGAAUUGGUGGAUCACCAUUCACCAUAGUACUUUCGUACCUUCAGAUUCUAAGAUCAUCUGAAUUCUGAUGAACGAGUGGAUGAAUGACCAACUA